rnacentral:lncRNA from 1 species
UGAAAUCUUGUAAAUAAAUUUUUAUAUAUGGAUGUAUCUGUGAACUCAAUAAAAAAUGUAUAAAACGAUACGUUCAUGUUGAUGUUUCACUUCAUAUCAAAUAAAUAUUAAUAGGAUGAAAGAAAUUAAAAAAAAAAAACUUGUCUUAUCAUUUGGAAUAUAAUAUAUUGGCAACAUGUUAAAAGAAGAUAUGAGAAACGUUAGAAACUGUCUCUGUUUGGUUUGAUUAUAAUUAAUGAGAUUAGGAUCCAAUGUGACAUAAAAAUUGAAC